rnacentral:rRNA from 1 species
CCAAUAGCGUAUAUUAAAGUUGCUGCAGUUAAAAAGCUCGUAGUUGAAUUUCGGGAUCAGUAUGUCGGUCGUGCCUCGGUACGUACUGGCAUCAUUGGUUUCCCCCUUCUGAAGAACCGCGAUGUCAUUAAUUUGGUGUCGUGGGGAAUCAGGACUGUUACUUUGAAAAAAUUAGAGUGUUUAAAGCAGGCUCACGCUUGAAUACAUUAGCAUGGAAUAAUGAAAUAGGACGUUUGAUUCUAUUUUGUUGGUUUCUAGGAUCGACGUAAUGAUUAAUAGGGAUAGUUGGGGGCAUUAGUAUUCAAUUGUCAGAGGUGAAAUUCUUGGAUUUAUUGAAGACUAACUACUGCGAAAGCAUUUGCCAAGGAUGUUUUCAUUAAUCAAGAACGAAAGUUAGGGGAUCGAAGACGAUCAGAUACCGUCGUAGUCUUAACCAUAAACUAUGCCGACUAGGGAUCGGAUGAUGUUAAUUUUUUAAUGACUCAUUCGGCGCCUUACG